AUUUAUAUAGUUUAAAAUUAAAACCUUACAUUUUCAUUGUAAUAAUAAAAUUAUUUAUU
rnacentral:tRNA from 1 species